rnacentral:rRNA from 1 species
GCGGAGGAAAAGAAACCAACAGGGAUUGCCCUAGUAACGGCGAGUGAAGCGGCAACAGCUCAAAUUUGAAAUCUGGCUUCGGCCCGAGUUGUAAUUUGUAGAGGAAGCUUUUGGUGAGGCACCUUCUGAGUCCCCUGGAACGGGGCGCCAUAGAGGGUGAGAGCCCCGUAUAGUCGGAUGCCGAUCCAAUGUAAAGCUCCUUCGACGAGUCGAGUAGUUUGGGAAUGCUGCUCAAAAUGGGAGGUAAAUUUCUUCUAAAGCUAAAUACCGGCCAGAGACCGAUAGCGCACAAGUAGAGUGAUCGAAAGAUGAAAAGCACUUUGAAAAGAGGGUUAAAUAGCACGUGAAAUUGUUGAAAGGGAAGCGUUUGUGACCAGACUUGCGCCGUUCCGAUCAUCCGGUGUUCUCACCGGUGCACUCGGGACGGCUCAGGCCAGCAUCGGUUUUGGCGGGGGGAUAAAGGUUCGGGGAACGUAGCUCCUCCGGGAGUGUUAUAGCCCCGGGCGUAAUGCCCUCGCCGGGACCGAGGUUCGCGCAUCUGCAAGGAUGCUGGCGUAAUGGUCAUCAACGACCCGUCUUG